rnacentral:rRNA from 1 species
AGUGAACGCUGGCGGUAGGCCUAACACAUGCAAGUCGAACGGCAGCACAGUAAGAGCUUGCUCUUACGGGUGGCGAGUGGCGGACGGGUGAGGAAUACAUCGGAAUCUACUUUUUCGUGGGGGAUAACGUAGGGAAACUUACGCUAAUACCGCAUACGACCUACGGGUGAAAGCAGGGGAUCUUCGGACCUUGCGCGAUUGAAUGAGCCGAUGUCGGAUUAGCUAGUUGGCGGGGUAAAGGCCCACCAAGGCGACGAUCCGUAGCUGGUCUGAGAGGAUGAUCAGCCACACUGGAACUGAGACACGGUCCAGACUACUACGGGAGGCAGCAGUGGGGAAUAUUGAACAAUGGGAUCAAGCCUGAUCCAGCCACACCGCGUGGGUGAAGCAGGCCUUCGGGUUGUAAAGCCCUUUUGUUGGGAAAGAAAAGCAGCAGGUUAAUACCCCGCUGUUCUGACGGUACCAAAAGAAUAAGCACAGGCUAACUUCGUG